rnacentral:rRNA from 1 species
CUGGAACGCGCCCUAGGCGCACCCAGAAACCCUUUGUGAACUUAUACCUUACUGUUGCCUCGGCGCAUGCUGGCCCCCUCGGGGCCCCCUGGAGACAGGGAGCAGGCACGCCGGCGGCCAAGUUAACUCUUGUUUUUACACUGAAACUCUGAGAAAAAACACAAAUGAAUCAAAACUUUCAACAACGGAUCUCUUGGUUCUGGCAUCGAUGAAGAACGCAGCGAAAUGCGAUAAGUAAUGUGAAUUGCAGAAUUCAGUGAAUCAUCGAAUCUUUGAACGCACAUUGCGCCCUCUGGUAUUCCGGAGGGCAUGCCUGUUCGAGCGUCAUUUCAACCCUCAAGCAUUGCUUGGUGUUGGGGCACUGCUUUUAACGAAGCAGGCCCUGAAAUCUAGUGGCGAGCUCGCCAGGACCCCGAGCGCAGUAGUUAAACCCUCGCUCUGGAAGGCCCUGGCGGUGCCCUGCCGUUAAACCCCCAACUUCUGAAAAUUUGACCUCGGAUCAGGUAGGAAUACCCGCUGAACUUAAGCAUAUCAAU